rnacentral:rRNA from 1 species
AUUGAACGCUGGCGGCAGGCCUAACACAUGCAAGUCGAGCGGAGCGGCGGACGGGUGAGUAAUACCUAGGAAUCUGCCUGGUAGUGGGGGAUAACGUCCACAAACGGGCGCUAAUACCCCAUACUAUCACAUGAGCCUAGGUCGGAUUAGCUAGUUGGUGGGGUAAAGGACUACCAAGGCGACGAUCCGUAACAGUUCUGAGAGGAGGAUCAGUCACACUGGAACUGAGACACGGUCCAGACUACUACGGGAGGCAGCAGUGGGGAAGAUUGGACAAUGGGCGAAAGCCGGAUCCAGCCAUGCCGCGUGUGUGAAGAAGGUCUUCGGAUUGUAAAGCACUUUAAGUUGGGAGGCGUUACCAACAGAAUAAGCACCGGCUAACUUCGUGCCAGCAGCCGCGGUAAUAC